AUCCAGCUGACGAGUCCUAAAUAAGACGAAACGCUCAUCAAGCUGGAU
rnacentral:hammerhead_ribozyme from 1 species